GACACCUCCAGAAUAACACUAAUUAUAGAAAACCUCUUCCACGUGCUUAAUUUUGUUGGAUUUUGCCUUGGAUUGGAAUAUUCUUUUCAAGAUUAUAAACAUAUUUGUCACUGGGGGAAGAGUUACCUGACUUUACAGGAGCUGUUCUCAUACUUGCACGCAGACAUGUCGUCCCCACAGAUCCCCUUCUACGGAGAGGCACUUGAUACGGCAUUAUACGGCCUGAGCGGAGCAGCAUUGCCAAGGCGUUGAAGAAAUACUGAUGAUGAUGAUGAUGAUGAUCUCACUUGACUUCCUUUUUGAGUCCUAAAGUAGGAGUAAGAAUUUGUCACAAGACUUUGUGUUUCCAUUGAGAAACAAGUUUUCAAAUAUAAUUUUGGUAAAUGACAGUUAAUAGAAGUAGAUAGACUCUAAAAAUGUUUGACUGCUUGCAUGAUCCAAGCCUUUGUCUUGCAAAGCAAAAAAACUGUGUUUCCAGUGAUGGUAAAUCAGUUAACUACCUAAACUUUCACUAAGAUGCACGCCAACAUGAUAACACAAUUGUGUUGAACAAAUAUGUUUUGAAAGACUUCCCCUAGGAUAACAUAUAAGCAGUGUUUGUGACUUCAGUUUUUGUUUGUCAAUCAUAGGAAGCUAGCUACAUUUUGCUAACUGAAUUGAAAAAUCACAUUCAUUUUGUGGAUACAGCAUAAGAUAAUUGUCAAAGUAUUAAUAAGUGAUUGAAAAUUAUGCUAAUGACAAAACAGCAUGAUCUGACUCUCAGAGGUGUACAUAGGUAUAUUGCAAUAUCUUAAACUAAGGUUCAGGAAAUCUUGCCUCAGAAAUGAGGACUUGAAUUUGGAAACUUGAGGAAUAUGUUAUAAUUAUUAAGGAAUAUCAGAUUAGAUACCUGAAGGAGAGCUUGAUGUCUAAGAAUGUGAACUGCUUUGACGGUGAAACCACCCAGGCAGCUACUAAGGUAAUCCCAAAGUUGCAAUUUAGAUCACUGCAUUUCAGGAAAGGUAAGGACCUUACUUUGGUUUAAAGAAAGGAAAGCUGAAAUUCUGAAGUCUACAUGCUCUCCUGAAGUCACCUGUUUAUGGCAAGUGUUAAUGGCAAGUGCAGACCAAGGAAAACAACAAGCUUCAAUUCUGUCUGGUAUCUUGGAGAAUGAAACAAGUGAAGAUGGGUACAAUUUUAGCCCCAUGCAGCCUUGCACAGAAUAAUUAAAUAUCUGUCAGACUAGAAAGAUU
rnacentral:lncRNA from 1 species